UUGUUUUGAUAUAGAAACUUGCUUUGUUGUCCAGGCUGAAGUACAGUGGCAUGAUCUUGGCUCACUGCAACCUCCGCCUCCCAGGUUCAAGUGAUUCUCCUGCCUCAGCCUCCCAAGUAGCUGGGAUUACAGGCACGCGCCACCACGCCCGGCUAAUUUUUGUAUUUUUAGUAGAGAUGAGGUUUCACUGUGUUGGCAAGGCUGGUCUCGAACUCCUGAGCUCAAGUGAUCCACCCGCGUCUGUUUUAUUUCUUAAAUUCAUGUGAAGUCUGGAUAUCUUGCAGUCCUUUUGACCAGGUCUUCUUACUUGCCUGCGAUAUAUCCCCCAUUCCCAUCCCCAGUUCCCCAGCCCCCUCCCAGGAGGUGACCCUGGCCAGCAGCUUCUUGUUGACCCUCCCAGAGAUUAGUAGACAGAUGUGUAUCUGAGGACACUGAUGUGCCUCACUCUCCUCGCUGCUCAACACCUAAGUCUGGGCAGUGCUUUCUCAUGGGGACUGGACUCUACCUGGCACAAGGCUCCUCACUGCUCCUCACUGCCAGCCCCACCUGCUAACCCAGAGACAUUGGAGGGCCUGGCCAGGACGUGCCUUCUCACGGUGGGGGCGGGGGGGUGCUCCACCCCCAAGCCCAGGGUCACUGGCCUCAGCUUUCUUGUGGAUCCACUCUUGUGCUCAGGGUGGACUUUCAGGUAGAUCCAAGGAGAGGACUUUCUGCUCUCAGGGUGCCUGCCCACAGCCUCUUUUUAAACAGUGUCUGGGCUUGUCUGGAGGUGGACUGGCUGGCUGGGUCCAACUCCAGGGCCAGUGGGCCAAAGAAGAGAGGAGGCAGAGGAGCAGCUGCAGCAGCACAGUGUGGGGGGUUUGCUCAGAGAAGCAGUCACAGGGGCCUCCACAUCUCAGGUCCUGCUCCUCAGCCAGGCGCUGGGUGGCCCAGGUGUGUGGUGGGAGCCUGUGCAGGUGUGAUCCAGAUGUUCCCCGGCCCCUCUCCCUUCCCAGGAGGGUGAGCGGGCCUUGCAGAGGUGGCUGGCAGCUGGGGGCUCCCUUUCUGAGAAGAGGGCCUUUCUGCCUGUGAGUCAGCACAGGGAGCCUGCUGUGGCCAUGUCUAGGGCCAUGGCUCCCUGAUCCCCCAGGAAGAAGUUGGAGUGGGGAGGGGGACCAGCCUCACCUGCUGCCACCCACAGACCCAGCUCAUCCAGAUGGUGGUGUGGAUGCUGCAGCGCCGGCUUCUCAUCCAGCUGCACACCUAUGUCUGUCUGAUGGCCUCACCCAGCGAGGAGGAGCCCCGCCCGCGAGAGGACGACGUCCCCUUCACUGCCCGGGUUGGCGGUCGCAGCCUCAGCACGCCCAACGCCCUCAGCUUUGGCUCCCCAAGUAGGGCCCCCAGUGCACUGCUGUGGUAGUCAGGGGAGACGCUUGGGGGUGGCAUCCAGGAGGCUCAACAUGGGCAGUGCUGUGAGUGAUGAGGGGCCUCCACACGGCUGCACACGCACAUGCACGUGCCUUGUGUCCCCUGUGGAGACACCUCUCCUGUCUCCUAGCACCACCAUGACUCUGAGGUGGCAGCUCUGUCUCCGGGCUCUUCAGCAGGCUUGCUAGAAUUAGGAGCAGCUCUCAGCCCACCAAAUCUGUGCUGGAAUCUCUGCCCCAGCCUGGGAGAAGAGCAGGAUCUCACACCACUACCAGGACAGCUGUCACCUCUGUGCCCCAGAAGAGCUGUCAUGGCCAGUGUGGCUUGAGGGCAGCAGCCUGUUGCCAGGUUCCAGGUCCCCGGUCCCCAGGCUUGGGGAAGGAAGGGGGUGGAAGACUUUGAAAGUCCCCCCUUGGCUGAGGUCUGGCUGUAGGCUUCAUGCUUCAUGUCAGGACCCCACCUGCCCAGGGUGCUUUGUCCUCCAUCCUGGGUGAGGGGCAGGAUGCCCAGGCCCACCUUGGGGUGUUUGUGGGGCACACACUGCACCUCUGUUCAGGUCCCUUGAGGUUGCCCCCAGAGGGGAGGCUACCCGUUUCCCAAGUCAGCCAUAUGAGGGGCGUGUCACACCCAGGAGGUAGGGCAGCAGCAGAUGCUUGCAGGCAGAUGUACCCUAACCCUUGUGGGAGUUAGAGGUGUCAUUGGAGGCUGGCUGCUGGCUCUGCCCUCGCUGUUCCCCUGGGUGUCCUGGAAUUCCACUUGGUCACUCUGACCCAUGCCCCCCACAGCCAGCAGCGAUGACAUGACCCUCACCAGCCCCAGCAUGGACAACUCCAGCGCAGAACUACUUCCCAGCGGGGACUCGCCACUGAACCAGAGGAUGACGGAGAACCUGCUGGCCAGCCUGUCGGAGCAUGAACGCGCAGCCAUCCUCAGUGUACCCGCAGCCCAGAACCCUGAGGACCUCCGCAUGUUUGCCAGGCUCCUUCAUUACUUCCGCGGCCGCCACCACCUGGAGGAGAUCAUGUACAACGAGAACACGCGGCGCUCCCAGCUGCUCAUGCUGUUUGACAAGUUCCGCAGCGUGCUGGUGGUGACCACCCACGAGGACCCCGUCAUUGCCGUCUUCCAGGCUCUGCUCCCCUGAGCCCAGGCGGAGGGCGGAAGGCUGCUGGGGCGCGCAGCUUUGGAAAGGCCCCUUGGAUUCCUGGCUGGGGACAACGAUGACCUGGACCCUGGCCAGAAGGGCCCUGGCCCUCCAGCAAGGCAGCUCCCUAGAGACACCUGCUCUGACGCACCUGUGCACCCCUGGCCCUCCCAGCCACCUGGGAGUCAGAAGCUUAGCCCGGAGGUGGCCAAGCCAGUCCCUAAUCUUGGGCUGCAGCCACAUGAGGCUCUGCAUCAGCAGCCAGGGGCGAGCACUAGUGGACAAAGCCAUGCCCUCCGGCAAAGCCAGCAAAUGCGGCGUUCCUGUGAGCAGAUACCCUCGACCAGCCAGUUGUCAAAAGUAUUUCAAGAUAAAAUCAAGGCCAAGCAGA
rnacentral:sRNA from 1 species